AUGAAGCACCAUGAUGCGAAUCAUUCAAGAAUGACAGCUACACUUAGAGGUAACCAUGUCCGAGCGAUGGCCCGCCACGGUCACGGUGUGCCAUCAUCAGUAUGGGGCACGUACACCGGCACAGUAUUGAUGCCGGCUGAAAUAGGGGCCAGGAAGAUGCUGCAAAAGAUUGAAAAGAUUUUUGGGGAUCUGAAUGUUCCUAUUGGCUGGCCUUUGGGGAAAGGCGAGCCGUGUUGGAGCAUAAAAGGACUUGUUGCUCCUAGACUGAAAAGACAUGGUCCAGUUAAGUACAUAAUAAGCACAUUUUUCUGUUUUAUUGGCAUGCACUAA
rnacentral:rRNA from 1 species